rnacentral:lncRNA from 1 species
GUACACACCAAAGCAGGAUCUGAACGACAAUGACGCAUACAGCGUUUUCCAGUCCAUAGGAUUAAAAAUUUUUACCAACACCAGAGUCCACAAACCACGCUAUUGUCCAAUGUAUCAAGCCUAUCCGCCUUUGCCCUACGUAGGAGGAGCCGGCUACAGAUCAAGCAACAUUAGGACCAGCUCAAUGAUGAUGAUGGGCGCAUCAGAAGUAGCUCAGGAGGUAGAAGUAAGAGAGACAGUGCGGAAGUACUUC